rnacentral:rRNA from 1 species
GACGGAGGAUGCAAGCGUUAUCCGGAAUUAUUGGGCGUAAAGCGUCCGCAGGUGGACAUACAAGUCUGCUGUCAAAGCGCAGAGCUUAACUCUGUACAGGCGGUGGAAACUGAAGAGCUAGAGUAUGGUAGGGGUAGAGGGAAUUCCCGGUGUAGCGGUGAAAUGCGUAGAUAUCGGGAAGAACACCAGUGGCGAAAGCGCUCUACUGGGCCAUAACUGACACUGAGGGACGAAAGCUAGGGGAGCGAAAGGG